rnacentral:rRNA from 1 species
UAGCAGGGGGGCAAGGCGUUGUUCGGAAUUACUGGGCGUAAAGGGCUCGUAGGCGGCCAACUAAGUCACACGUGAAAUCCCCAGGCUUAACCUGGGAACUGCGUGUGAUACUGGAUGGCUUGAAUCCGGGAGAGGGAUGCGGAAUUCCAGGUGUAGCGGUGAAAUGCGUAGAUAUCUGGAGGAACACCGGUGGCGAAGGCGGCAUCCUGGACCGGUAUUGACGCUGAUGAGCGAAAGCCAGGGGAGCAAACGGG